ensembl:miRNA gga-mir-12210 gga-mir-12210
GUUGUUCUGAAUCUAUCUUGGAAGAAAAAAAUCCCAGCAAAUUUCACCUCUGUUCAAAGUUAACUUCCAAGAUAGAUUCAGAACAACUU